rnacentral:rRNA from 1 species
AUGCACACGUUAUCGCAUGAUAGAGUGCGGAAAGAUUUAUCGGUGCAGGAUGAGCCCGCGUCGGAUUAACUAGUUGGCAGGGUAACGGCCUACCAAGGUGAUGAUCCGUAGCCGGCCUGAGAGGGCGACCGGCCACAUUGGGACUGAGACACGGCCCAAACUCCUACGGGAGGCAGCAGUGGGGAAUAUUGCACAAUGGGCGCAAGCCUGAUGCAGCGACGCCGCGUGAAGGAAGACGUAUUUCGGUAUGUAAACUUCUAUCAGCGGGGAAGAAGAUGACGGUACCCGACUAAGAAGCCCCGGCUAACUACGUGCCAGCAGCCGCGGUAAUACGUAGGGGGCAAGCGUUAUCCGGAUUUACUGGGUGUAAAGGGAGCGUAGACGGUGAGGCAAGUCCGAUGUGAAAACCCGGGGCUCAACCCCGGGAUUGCAUUGGAAACUGUUUGACUCGAGUACUGGAGGGGUAAGCGGAAUUCCUAGUGUAGCGGUGAAAUGCGUAGAUAUUAGGAGGAACACCGGUGGCGAAGGCGGCUUACUGGACAGUAACUGACGUUGAGGCUCGAAAGCGUGGGGAGCAAAC